rnacentral:rRNA from 1 species
GAUGAACGCUGGCGGCGUGCCUAAUACAUGCAAGUCGAGCGAACGGACGAGAAGCUUGCUUCUCUGAUGUUAGCGGCGGACGGGUGAGUAACACGUGGAUAACCUACCUAUAAGACUGGGAUAACUUCGGGAAACCGGAGCUAAUACCGGAUAAUAUUUUGAACCGCAUGGUUCAAAAGUGAAAGACGGUCUUGCUGUCACUUAUAGAUGGAUCCGCGCUGCAUUAGCUAGUUGGUAAGGUAACGGCUUACCAAGGCAACGAUGCAUAGCCGACCUGAGAGGGUGAUCGGCCACACUGGAACUGAGACACGGUCCAGACUCCUACGGGAGGCAGCAGUAGGGAAUCUUCCGCAAUGGGCGAAAGCCUGACGGAGCAACGCCGCGUGAGUGAUGAAGGUCUUCGGAUCGUAAAACUCUGUUAUUAGGGAAGAACAUAUGUGUAAGUAACUGUGCACGUCUUGACGGUACCUAAUCAGAAAGCCACGGCUAACUACGUGCCAGCAGCCGCGGUAAUACGUAGGUGGCAAGCGUUAUCCGGAAUUAUUGGGCGUAAAGCGCGCGUAGGCGGUUUUUUAAGUCUGAUGUGAAAGCCCACGGCUCAACCGUGGAGGGUCAUUGGAAACUGGAAAACUUGAGUGCAGAAGAGGAAAGUGGAAUUCCAUGUGUAGCGGUGAAAUGCGCAGAGAUAUGGAGGAACACCAGUGGCGAAGGCGACUUUCUGGUCUGUAACUGACGCUGAUGUGCGAAAGCGUGGGGAUCAAACAGGAUUAGAUACCCUGGUAGUCCACGCCGUAAACGAUGAGUGCUAAGUGUUAGGGGGUUUCCGCCCCUUAGUGCUGCAGCUAACGCAUUAAGCACUCCGCCUGGGGAGUACGACCGCAAGGUUGAAACUCAAAGGAAUUGACGGGGACCCGCACAAGCGGUGGAGCAUGUGGUUUAAUUCGAAGCAACGCGAAGAACCUUACCAAAUCUUGACAUCCUUUGACAACUCUAGAGAUAGAGCUUUCCCCUUCGGGGGACAAAGUGACAGGUGGUGCAUGGUUGUCGUCAGCUCGUGUCGUGAGAUGUUGGGUUAAGUCCCGCAACGAGCGCAACCCUUAAGCUUAGUUGCCAUCAUUAAGUUGGGCACUCUAAGUUGACUGCCGGUGGCAAACCGGAGGAAGGUGGGGGUGACGUCAAAUCAUCAUGCCCCUUAUGAUUUGGGCUACACACGUGCUACAAUGGACAAUACAAAGGGCAGCGAAACCGCGAGGUCAAGCAAAUCCCAUAAAGUUGUUCUCAGUUCGGAUUGUAGUCUGCAACUCGACUACAUGAAGCUGGAAUCGCUAGUAAUCGUAGAUCAGCAUGCUACGGUGAAUACGUUCCCGGGUCU